GGGGGCGAAAGGUUUCGACUUAGAUAGGCCUGGAUAGAGCAGCAUGUCGAGGUUGUCAGGAGGCCUCGAAAAACACCUGGCACAAAUUAAACGCCAACUACAAUGCAGUAGCUGAAGCAGAGGUCAUUUUGGCUUCUAGCGAGGCGGUAGCUGUUGCCUAAUUAAAGGCGACCCGUCUACAGGUCCUGCCUGCGGGACUUGAUAGACGCUGUUAGCAGGCUGGUCCAAUCUUUUUAUGUUUUUUUGGGUUGGGCGAGGAGCACAAAAAAACUUUGUCUUAUGUUAUCCCGUUUGCCGGAGGACAUAAGAUGAGAAUAAUAGGCAAACUAAACAUGUAGAGACUCUUUUUGGGAUAUCAGAGGACGCGGAUUCGAUUUCCGCCGCCUCCACCA
rnacentral:tmRNA from 1 species